UGUGCCACCCAGGCGCCCCAAAUUUUCCUCUUCUCAUAAGGACACCAGUCAUAAGGCCCAUCCUAAUUCAGUAUGGCCUCAUCUGAUUUCAACUAAUAUCUGCAAAGAUUCUAUUUCCAAAUAAGGUCACAUUCACAGAUUCCAGGUGGACAAGAAUUUUGGGGGGAUGCUAUUAGACCCAGCAGAAGCAUCAACCCCAUUGUUUAUUUGAACAUGCCUCAGAUAUGGUUGGUUCUUUGGUGUUGGGAGAGCAGCCUCCAGGCAUCCACGACCCUGUCACAAUAGGGGGUGCCAGGGUGCUCCUCGAGGCAGAAAACAUCUUGAAGUCAAAAUCCUUGACUGGAGGGGCGCCUGGCUGGCUCAGUUGGUAGAGCAUGCAGCUUUUGAUCUCAGGGUUGUGAGUUCAAGCCCCAUAUUACGCAUAGACAUUACUUUUUAAAAAUCCUUGAUUGAAUUAGAUGCUGGAUGAGAUGUAGAUGUGGUCUGGUGGGAGCUGUUCCAAGUCUGCACUUAGCAAGAUGGCUCCAUUCGCUGUGGAACAUUGUGAAGGAGAAAAGUUCUCAACUCUGUUUAUUUGCAGGUGAACACUUGAGCCACAACAGCUCUCAAAAGUGUGGUAAUCGUUUCCAACUAUUAACCUGUGGGCAAAAAUUAACAUGGGUGCAGAGAAUGGAAGGGAGCAUAAAACUCAUUUCUAAUUAGUACUUAUAGGCACUUUUGGGACACUCUCAACUUACUCUUACACAAGUGAACUAUGGAAACAUUCUAUUUUUGCCAUGGUAUUUGUACUGACUCUAUCACAGGGGUCCUUCUAAGCCAAUAAAUAUACUUCUAUACCAAAAUAUAUUAAACUACUGGUCCUAAACCCUUUGAUACAGCCCUUCCGCUCCUCACCCCUCCCCCAUCGUGGUCCCUGACAUCUUACCAUCUAAAUGAAUCUCUUCACCUCCUUUUGCACCCCCAGUCUGCCGGAGAAAAAAAAAUGCUUCCUGCCCCUGGCCUUUCCUUAAUUAUAUGCAGACAUGGUUGGGUGUUCUUUGCUAGGCUGCUGAGUCAGAAGCCUGGACGGGCCAGCUGCAGUCUUAAUGACCUGACUCAGGAAGGAAGUGUUAACAGAGAUGGUGCACUGUGCACUCAGUGGGUGGGAGCCAAUGGCGGCUAGAAGACCCGAGCCUUGUGAGGGGCAGCCUGAUUCCCAGGAAAGAGCAUUGGCUGGAAGUUUGGAGGCCCGUGCUAGUCUCUGCUCUGCCACUAACUUGCUGCAUGACUUUGGCUUGGCCGGACAGGUAGAGAGAACACCGAUGAACAUUCACCCUGUCACACAUGGAGUAGAUUGCCUGACUUUAUUUUCUCAUCUAAUGCUCAGGACAACGCUAUGAAAUGAGGAGUGGAGGCAGCGUGCCCACAAUUCAGAAACAAAGAGUGAGCAUUUGCCAACAAGAUUCACUUUGGGGAUCUGGGAUGGAGGAAGGAGACUGGUAGUAACAGAGAUUGAGGAUUCUGGUCACACUAGCUAAACUAAUACCUAAAACUAGACCAAUAUUCCAAACAUCCCUAUCCCCGACAUCAUUCGUCUAUGCUGGAGAUGAUUAUCUCCAAACCCCUCCUACCUUUUUCCUCCAGAGCCUUUGGAGUGUCAGAAUCAAUACAGUCAACUAGAAGAUUUACUGCAGAAUGAAAAGAGAUGGAAGAUUCUGGACUAGAAAAGCCAAAGUAGAUGGACACUGAACGUUGGGAUUUGUCGGUGGAGUGCUAGAAGCCAGGAUUCAAAGUUAUGACAAGUAUGUCUUCUCCUAGGGAGCCUUCCCUGAUAUUUUUCCUAUCCCAGCCACCUGCUGGGUAGGUACUCCUCCUUAACAUUCCAAAGCAGUCUGUGGUCAUCUCUACUGUGGCACUUCUCACAUUGUUUUAUGUUUGUCUGCUCAUGUAUUGGUUGGCUGCUCUGAACUGGGAGCUCCUGGUAAGGUAGGGACUAUUGUCUUUAUCUCUGUAUCCCCAGAAUCCAGCUCAGCACCUGGCCCAUAGUAGGCACUCAGUGAAUGUUGAUUUGAGCAAAUGAACUGAUUGAAAGAAAUGUCUCCUGUAAUUGCUUCUUACCAAUCCAGCCAACAAGGGCAACAUCGUGGAUGGAGGCACCAGAGAGCACAUCAUCUCUGGCUUUUUGCUGCAGAUCUACGUGGAGAAUCCCACAUGGGGCAACAAAAAUUCUCAAGGCCAGAUAGGACUUUGCGUUGGAAGCUUUAAAAUGCAAUACCUGGCUUUGAAGAGGAUGUAUAACACAGAUAGUUUACUAUUCAUUGAUAAUGGAAACUUCCAUAUUCUGUUGUCUAAUAGAAAAUAAACAAUAACUUUUAAAUUC